AUUGAACGCUGGCGGCAGGCCUAACACAUGCAAGUCGAGCGGAUGAAGGGAGCUUGCUCCUGGAUUCAGCGGCGGACGGGCGAGUAAUGCCUAGGAAUCUGCCUGGUAGUGGGGGAUAACGUCCGGAAACGGGCGCUAAUACCGCAUACGUUCUGAGGGAGAAAGAGGGGGAUCUUCGGACCUCACGCUAUCAGAUGAGCCUAGGUCGGAUUAGCUAGUUGGUGGGGUAAAGGCCUACCAAGGCGACGAUCCGUAACUGGUCUGAGAGGAUGAUCAGUCACACUGGAACUGAGACACGGUCCAGACUCCUACGGGAGGCAGCAGUGGGGAAUAUUGGACAAUGGGCGAAAGCCUGAUCCAGCCAUGCCGCGUGUGUGAAGAAGGUCUUCGGAUUGUAAAGCACUUUAAGUUGGGAGGAAGGGCAGUAAGUUAAUACCUUGCUGUUGUGACGGUACCAACAGAAUAAGCACCGGCUAACUUCGUG
rnacentral:rRNA from 1 species